rnacentral:rRNA from 1 species
CCCUUAGAUGUCCUGGGCUGCACGCGUGCUACAAUGAUACGUGCAACGAGUUAAUCCUGCUCUGAAAGGAGUGGGUAAUCUUAUGAAUGCGUAUCGUGCUUGGGAUUGACCAUUGUAAUUAUUGGUCAUGAACGAGGAAUUCCUAGUAAGCACAAGUCAUCAGCUUGUGCUGAUUACGUCCCUGCCCUUUGUACACACCGCCCGUCGCUCCUACCGAUUGAGUGUUCCGGUGAAUUAUUCGGACUGUAACGCAUUCAGUUCUGGAUGCAGUUACGGGAAGUUUUGUGAACCUUGCCACUUAGAGGAAGGAGAAGUCGUAACA